rnacentral:rRNA from 1 species
UACGUAGGGGGCAAGCGUUGUCCGGAUUUAUUGGGCGUAAAGAGCUCGUAGGUGGUUUGGUAAGUCGGAUGUGAAAUCUCCAGGCUCAACCUGGAGGGGUCAUUCGAUACUGCCAUACUUGAGGUCGGUAGGGGAGUGUGGGAAUUCCUGGUAGGAGCGGGUGAAAUGCGCAGGAAUAUCAGGAGGAACACCCGUAGCGAAGGGCGG